GCCCUCUCAGCUAUAUGCACCACUGUUUGGAUCGAUGAUAGAUUCUUCUCUAGGAUUCUUAGUUUCUCCUUUGUGUCUUUCCGUUGGUAUUCAUACCGAUCUUCUGCAUAGGAGCACGCCUUCUCGACCAGCUUGGUGAUUAAGGCUGAGGCCACCCAUCCUCCUAUUGCUGAAGCAGCCAUUACAGCUCAGAUGCAGAAAUUGCAGUAUGGACACCUUAAAAGUGAAGGAACAAAUAUUGUCAAAUGCUGGUUUCAAGUUGCCACAUAAAGGGAGAUGAAUCGGCUGAUUGGGAGAAAGUUGAAAUAUGGAUGCAGUCAAGAAGGUAUCUUGAUUAUAAAACUAACGAUGUCAUCUGAAACUUCCCCGAGCUGCAUCAUCUUGCUUUGUUUUCGCCAUAUUCUAGCAAAGUUCUGUGAAUGGAACAAUUACGAAGGGAUCAUUGUUCUUGUUUUCAUGUGACUCAGCUAUGCGUUAAUUUAUGCGGCGUCUGUCGUGUGCUUGUGUAUCAAAUGAUUAAAUCUUGGAGGGCUGUAACAUCAAUAACACUUAUUUUUGUACUGGUUCCAAGAACUAGCUCAUCAGCAGCUAUACUUUAUGA